rnacentral:rRNA from 1 species
AUCAGUGGCGAACGGGUGAGUAACACGUGAGCAAUCUGCCCCUGACUCUGGGAUAAGCGCUGGAAACGGCGUCUAAUACCGGAUACGAGCUGCGAAGGCAUCUUCAGCAGCUGGAAAGAACUUCGGUCAGGGAUGAGCUCSCGGCCUAUCAGCUAGUUGGUGAGGUAACGGCUCACCAAGGCGUCGACGGGUAGCCGGCCUGAGAGGGUGACCGGCCACACUGGGACUGAGACACGGCCCAGACUCCUACGGGAGGCAGCAGUGGGGAAUAUUGCACAAUGGGCGAAAGCCUGAUGCAGCAACGCCGCGUGAGGGACGACGGCCUUCGGGUUGUAAACCUCUUUUAGCAGGGAAGAAGCGAAAGUGACGGUACCUGCAGAAAAAGCGCCGGCUAACUACGUGCCAGCAGCCGCGGUAAUACGUAGGGCGCAAGCGUUAUCCGGAAUUAUUGGGCGUAAAGAGCUCGUAGGCGGUUUGUCGCGUCUGCUGUGAAAACCCGAGGCUCAACCUCGGGCCUGCAGUGGGUACGGGCAGACUAGAGUGCGGUAGGGGAGAUUGGAAUUCCUGGUGUAGCGGUGGAAUGCGCAGAUAUCAGGAGGAACACCGAUGGCGAAGGCAGAUCUCUGGGCCGUAACUGACGCUGAGGAGCGAAAGGGUGGGGAGCAAACAGCUUAGAUACYCUGGUAGUCCACCCCGUAAACGUUGGGAACUAGUUGUGGGGACCAUUUCCACGGUUUCCGUGACGCAGCUAACGCAUUAAGUUCCCCGCCUGGGGAGUACGCGCAGCUAAACUCAAGAAUUGACGGGACYCGCACAGCGCGAGCAUGCGAUUAUCGAUG